rnacentral:rRNA from 1 species
AAACCAACUGGGAUUACCUUAGUAACGGCGAGUGAAGCGGUAAAAGCUCAAAUUUGAAAUCUGGUACUAUCAGUGCCCGAGUUGUAAUUUGUAGAAUUUGUCUUUGAUUAGGUCCUUGUCUAUGUUCCUUGGAACAGGACGUCAUAGAGGGUGAGAAUCCCGUUUGGCGAGGAUACCUUUUCUCUGUAAGACUUUUUCGAAGAGUCGAGUUGUUUGGGAAUGCAGCUCAAAGUGGGUGGUAAAUUCCAUCUAAAGCUAAAUAUUGGCGAGAGACCGAUAGCGAACAAGUACAGUGAUGGAAAGAUGAAAAGAACUUUGAAAAGAGAGUGAAAAAGUACGUGAAAUUGUUGAAAGGGAAGGGCAUUUGAUCAGACAUGGUGUUUUUGCAUGCACUCGCCUCUCGUGGGCUUGGGCCUCUCAAAAAUUUCACUGGGCCAACAUCAAUUCUGGCAGUAGGAUAAAUCAUUAAGAAUGUAGCUACCUCGGUAGUGUUAUAGCUUUUUGGAAUACUGUUAGCCGGGUA